rnacentral:lncRNA from 1 species
GUGGUUAUGAUAUUGUUGUUUACUAUAUGACUCUCUGUGAAGCGCAUGGACUUGAAUGUAGAUGAAUUUAAAAUUUCAUUCUUUAGAAUGUCCGUGCAGUAUUUACGGCCUACCACCAACACAUUUUUGGCUGCUUUGUCGGCCGGUACAAACACAAACCGCUUUGAAAGUUCUUGAAGUUUAUUUCUUAUUCUGGAAAUAGGUGUUUU